UGGGGAAUUGUUCGCAAUGGGCGCAAGCCUGACGACGCAACGCCGCGUGGAGGAUGAAGGUCUUCGGAUUGUAAGCUCCUGUUGAUCGGGAAGAACUGACUCCGGGUUAAUACUCCGGGGUAAUGACGGUACCGAUUGAGGAAGCCACGGCUAACUCUGUGCCAGCAGCCGCGGUAACACAGAGGUGGCAAGCGUUGUUCGGAAUUACUGGGCGUAAAGGGCGCGUAGGUGGCCUUGUUAGUCAGACGUGAAAUCCCCAAGCUUAACUUGGGAACUGCGUCUGAUACUGCAAGGCUUGAGUUCGGGAGAGGGAUGUGGAAUUCCAGGUGUAGCGGUGAAAUGCGUAGAUAUCUGGAGGAACACCGGUGGCGAAGGCGGCAUCCUGGACCGAAACUGACACUGAGGCGCGAAAGCUAGGGGAGCAAA
rnacentral:rRNA from 1 species